rnacentral:rRNA from 1 species
CGNNGCUAUACAUGCAGUCGAGCGGACAGAUGGGAGCUUGCUCCCUGAUGUUAGCGGCGGACGGGUGAGUAACACGUGGGUAACCUGCCUGUAAGACUGGGAUAACUCCGGGAAACCGGGGCUAAUACCGGAUGGUUGUUUGAACCGCAUGGUUCAGACAUAAAAGGUGGCUUCGGCUACCACUUACAGAUGGACCCGCGGCGCAUUAGCUAGUUGGUGAGGUAACGGCUCACCAAGGCGACGAUGCGUAGCCGACCUGAGAGGGUGAUCGGCCACACUGGGACUGAGACACGGCCCAGACUCCUACGGGAGGCAGCAGUAGGGAAUCUUCCGCAAUGGACGAAAGUCUGACGGAGCAACGCCGCGUGAGUGAUGAAGGUUUUCGGAUCGUAAAGCUCUGUUGUUAGGGAAGAACAAGUGCCGUUCAAAUAGGGCGGCACCUUGACGGUACCUAACCAGAAAGCCACGGCUAACUACGUGCCAGCAGCCGCGGUAAUACGUAGGUGGCAAGCGUUGUCCGGAAUUAUUGGGCGUAAAGGGCUCGCAGGCGGUUUCUUAAGUCUGAUGUGAAAGCCCCCGGCUCAACCGGGGAGGGUCAUUGGAAACUGGGGAACUUGAGUGCAGAAGAGGAGAGUGGAAUUCCACGUGUAGCGGUGAAAUGCGUAGAGAUGUGGAGGAACACCAGUGGCGAAGGCGACUCUCUGGUCUGUAACUGACGCUGAGGAGCGAAAGCGUGGGGAGCGAACAGGAUUAGAUACCCUGGUAGUCCACGCCGUAAACGAUGAGUGCUAAGUGUUAAGGGGUUUCCGCCCCUUAGUGCUGCAGCUAACGCAUUAAGCACUCCGCCUGGGGAGUACGGUCGCAAGACUGAAACUCAAAGGAAUUGACGGGGGCCCGCACAAGCGGUGGAGCAUGUGGUUUAAUUCGAAGCAACGCGAAGAACNU